rnacentral:lncRNA from 1 species
AAUUACAUGACUACAAUAACCGUGGAUAACUACAGGUAUAUGCAGGUCAGGAUGCUGCAAUGCUCAACCAAUAUAGACCGCCGUAUACACGUUUUGGUCAACCUCCCCAGUCCGAAUUAACACAAAGGUACAGUUACGCCCAAGACACCGCUUGAAACAAGAGUUUCGUCAAAAUUGCUUUUUAAUUGUCUUAUUCUAAAGGCAUGUAGCUGUGCUUGCAGCUCUCAAGCAAUCGCGCAAUAAGACAUUUUACGGUACGGCAUUCCCCCCGCACACGAGACACGGGCCCGCAUCAUUAAACUAUCUUGCCACGAGAACUGCUGCACCGAUAAUUGCGAUGAGAGCGAUUGGCGAGGUUACCAGUCCCACGAAAAGGGUUCCCCGACGCAGCUGCUUCGCCAGGUGUCCGACCUGCCGACAGGGCAAAGGGAGGUUCGGUCGCGGUAAUGAUAGGAUGACGAAAGGCGGAUGAGAGUUGCUAAACAGUAGGAAGCAUGAAGAGUAGCGGGUUCUGACCUACACACCUCCGGGCAUCGCUGCUUGGCAGCCCGAUCCCGAUCUGUCGCAACAGUGCAUCACCCAGGGCAUCUUAGAGCUCAUUAAGAGCUUAGCGCUCUGCAUCCGUUCAGCAAGGCAACGCAAGAUGUUACAUGUUGUACCGGCCAGCAACAUGCCGUACUGGCCAGCAACACGAGUCCCCCAACAGCGCACACCAGAUACACAG